UACGAAGGGGGGCUAGCGUUGCUCGGAAUUACUGGGCGUAAAGGGCGCGUAGGCGGAUAUUUAAGUCGGGGGUGAAAGCCCAGGGCUCAACCCUGGAAUAGCCUUCGAUACUGGAUAUCUUGAGUUCGGGAGAGGUGAGUGGAACUCCGAGUGUAGAGGUGAAAUUCGUAGAUAUUCGGAAGAACACCAGUGGCGAAGGCGACUCACUGGCCCGAUACUGACGCUGAGGCGCGAAAGCGUGGGGAGCAAACAGGG
rnacentral:rRNA from 1 species